UACAGAGGUCCCGAGCGUUGUUCGGAUUCACUGGGCGUAAAGGGUGCGUAGGUGGCAUGGUAAGUUUGAUGUGAAAGCUCAGGGCUCAACCCUGAAAUGGCAUUGAAUACUACUGUGCUGGAGGUUUGGAGGGGGGACUGGAAUUCUUGGUGUGGCAGUGAAAUGCGUAGAUAUCAAGAGGAACACCAGUGGCGAAGGCGAGUCCCUGGACAACACCUGACACUGAGGCACGAAAGCCGGGGGAGCAAACAGG
rnacentral:rRNA from 1 species